ACAACAUUUGGACCGUUGGUCUACCGAGCAAUAUCACCCGCUCGGUGAAAUAUCUUCCCUUUGUCGU
rnacentral:pre_miRNA from 1 species